UGGGGAAUUUUGGACAAUGGGCGAAAGCCUGAUCCAGCAAUGCCGCGUGUGUGAAGAAGGCCUUCGGGUUGUAAAGCACUUUUGUCCGGAAAGAAAUCCUUGGCUCUAAUACAGUCGGGGGAUGACGGUACCGGAAGAAUAAGCACCGGCUAACUACGUGCCAGCAGCCGCGGUAAUACGUAGGGUGCAAGCGUUAAUCGGAAUUACUGGGCGUAAAGCGUGCGCAGGCGGUUUGCUAAGACCGAUGUGAAAUCCCCGGGCUCAACCUGGGAACUGCAUUGGUGACUGGCAGGCUAGAGUAUGGCAGGAGGGGGGUAGAAUUCCACGUGUAGCAGUGAAAUGCGUAGAGAUGUGGAGGAAUACCGAUGGCGAAGGCAGCCCCCUGGGCCAAUACUGACGCUCAUGCACGAAAGCGUGGGGAGCAAACAGGAUUAGAUACCCUGGUAGUCCAGCGCCCUAAACGAUGUCAACUAGUUGUUGGGGAUUCAUUUCCUUAGUAACGUAGCUAACGCGUGAAGUUGACCGCCUGGGGAGUACGGUCGCAAGAUUAAAACUCAAAGGAAUUGACGGGGUCAUAGCUGUUUCCU
rnacentral:rRNA from 1 species